rnacentral:SRP_RNA from 1 species
AGUCGGGUCCUCCGCAAUGGAUACCUGUGAAUCUGGUCAGGUCCGGAAGGAAGCAGCCAUAAGCAGGAAGUUUCAUGUGCCGGAGGGUGGCCUAACUUGA